rnacentral:misc_RNA from 1 species
GAUGAAGAACGCAGCGAAAUGCGAUAACUAAUGUGAAUUGCAGAAUUCAGUGAAUCAUCGAGUCUUUGAACGCACAUUGCGCCCUCUGGUAUUCCGGAGGGCAUGCCUGUCCGAGCGUCAUUGCUGCCCUCCAGCCCGGCUGGUGUGUUGGGCCCCGUCCCCCUUCCCGGGGGGACGGGCCCGAAAGGCAGCGGCGGCACCGCGUCCGGUCCUCGAGCGUAUGGGGCUUUGUCACCCGCUCUUGUAGGCCCGGCCGGCGCCAGCCGACCCCCUCAAUCUAUUUUUCCGGUUGACCUCGGAUCAGGUAGGGAUACCCGCUGAACUUAAGCAUAUCAAUAAGCGGAGGA